rnacentral:rRNA from 1 species
AUUGAACGCUGGCGGCAUGCUUUACACAUGCAAGUCGAACGGCAGCGCGGGCUUCGGGCUGGCGGCGAGUGGCGAACGGGUGAGUAAUACAUCGGAACGUGCCCAGUAGUGGGGGAGAGCUCGGCGAAAGCCGGAGUAAGACCGCAUACGAUCUGAGGGUGAAAGCGGGGGAUCUUGGGAGCUCGCGCUAUUGGAGCGGCCGAAGGCAGAUUAGGUAGUUGGUGGGGUAAAGGCCGACCAAGGGGACGAUCUGGAGCUGGUCUGAGAGGACGACCGGCCACACUGGGACUGAGACACGGCCCAGACUCCUACGGGAGGCAGCAGUGGGGAAUUUUGGACAAUGGGCGAAAGCCUGCUCCAGCACUGCCGCGUGUGUGAUGAAGGCCUUCGGGUUUUAAAGCACUUUUGGCGGGAACGAAAAGGACUGUGCCAAUACCACGGUUCGAUGACGGUACCCGCAGAAUAAGCACCGGCUAACUACGUG